AGCAGAUCAUUCCUCCCUUUGUGAGUACCCAUGUUUCAGCAACAAGUACCCAUGUUUCAGUGACAAGUCUUCAACUGAUUGGAUGAGGCCCACCACAUUAUAGAGGACAAUUUGUUUUGCUUAAAGCCAACUGAUUGUUGCAGGCCAAAACUAUCUUCCACUAACGGAGGGCCAAGAAACUCAAGUCAAGGAUUCUACACUAUCACCAGUGAAGGAUGGCAGGAAACUUGCUCUCAACCAAGACCCUCUGGUACAAGGUAGAGCUUGGAACCCUUGAAGGGAGAAGCAGCCCCACCCCUGAGGUUCAAGUACACAAAGACUGCAUAGGACAGAGGCUGGAGGAGAAAACCCUUGUGCCCAUCACAAGUAACAAGCAAAAUCUGUCCACACCAUGCAGUAGCUAAGACUUUUCAGGGGUUUGGGUCAGGUUCCCUGGAAUAACAUGGAUCUACAGGUAGAAAUCAGGAGCCAGUGCCAGUGGUGUAAAUGUUCCCUAGAGAACUAUUUCCAAAUGUCUAAGCAAAAUUCUUCUAAUGGGAGAAGAAAAUGGCUUGGGGUAUUCUUUUGAGGGUACAGUUCUGUGAGUGGAGAGGUGUAUGCCUCUACAGUGACUUGAACAUUCUGAUAUGACAGGCCUUUCACUAAAUGCCCAGUGAAAGGUGAGGGCACGUUGG